AGGGAUGCUGGUCCAUGUUGACUCUACAAGGUGUUGAAAGCGUUCCACAGGGAUGCUGGCCCAUGUUGACUCUACAAGGUGUUGAAAGCGUUCCACAGGGAUGCUGGCCCAUGUUGACUCUACAAGGUGUUGAAAGCAUUCCACAGGGAUGCUGGCCCAUGUUGACUCUACAAGGUGUUGAAAGCGUUCCACAGGGAUGCUGGCCCAUGUUGACUCUACAAGGUGUUGAAAGCGUUCCACAGGGAUGCUGGCCCAUGUUGACUCUACAAGGUGUUGAAAGCGUUCCACAGGGAUGCUGGCCCAUGUUGACUCUACAAGGUGUUGAAAGCAUUCCACAGGGAUGCUGGCCCAUGUUGACUCUACAAGGUGUUGAAAGCGUUCCACAGGGAUGCUGGCCCAUGUUGACUCUACAAGGUGUUGAAAGCAUUCCACAGG